rnacentral:rRNA from 1 species
AUUGAACGCUGGCGGCAGGCCUAACACAUGCAAGUCGAGCGGAUGAAGGGAGCUUGCUCCUGGAUUCAGCGGCGGACGGGUGAGUAAUGCCUAGGAAUCUGCCUGGCAGUGGGGGAUAACGUCCGGAAACGGGCGCUAAUACCGCAUACGUCCUGAGGGAGAAAGUGGGGGAUCUUCGGACCUCACGCUAUCAGAUGAGCCUAGGUCGGAUUAGCUAGUUGGUGGGGUAAAGGCCUACCAAGGCGACGAUCCGUAACUGGUCUGAGAGGAUGAUCAGUCACACUGGAACUGAGACACGGUCCAGACUCCUACGGGAGGCAGCAGUGGGGAAUAUUGGACAAUGGGCGAAAGCCUGAUCCAGCCAUGCCGCGUGUGUGAAGAAGGUCUUCGGAUUGUAAAGCACUUUAAGUUGGGAGGAAGGGCAGUAAGUUAAUACCUUGCUGUUGUGACGUUACCAACAGAAUAAGCACCGGCUAACUUCGUG